rnacentral:rRNA from 1 species
UACGUAGGGGGCAAGCGUUGUCCGGAUUUAUUGGGCGUAAAGAGCGUGUAGGCGGCCAUACAGGUCAGCUGUGAAAACUCGAGGCUCAACCUCGAGACGUCGGUUGAAACCGUAUGGCUAGAGUCCGGAAGAGGAGAGUGGAAUUCCCGGUGUAGCGGUGAAAUGCGUAGAUAUUGGGAGGAACACCAGUGGCGAAGGCGGCUCACUGGACCGGAACUGACGCUGAUGCGCGAAAGCGUGGGGAGCAAACGGG